rnacentral:rRNA from 1 species
CGGCACGGGUGAGUAACACGUAUCCAACCUGCCGUCUACUCUUGGACAGCCUCUGAAAGGAAGAUUAAUACAAGAUGGCAUCAUGAGUCCGCAUGUUCACAUGAUUAAAGGUAUUCCGGUAGACGAUGGGGAUGCGUUCCAUUAGAUAGUAGGCGGGGUAACGGCCCACCUAGUCUUCGAUGGAUAGGGGUUCUGGGAGGAAGGUCCCCCACAUUGGAACUGAGACACGGUCCAA